AACGUAGGACACGAGCGUUAUCCGGAGUUACUGGGCGUAAAGGGCGUUUAGGCGGGUGAUUAAGUUCGCUAUGAAAGCGCCGGGCUAAACCCGGCGAGGCUGGCGGAUACUGGUCAUCUGGAGUGAGGGGGAGGGAAGUAGAAUUCCGCGUGUAGUGGUGAAAUGCGUAGAGAUGCGGAGGAAUACCAGUGGCGAAGGCGACUUCCUGGCCCUCAACUGACGCUGAAGCGCGAAAGCAUGGGGAGCGAACGGGAUUAGAUACCCCAGUAGU
rnacentral:rRNA from 1 species